UACAGAGGGGGCAAGCGUUGUUCGGAAUUACUGGGCGUAAAGGGCGCGUAGGCGGCCUGCUAAGUCGAACGUGAAAAUCCCUGGGCUCAACCCCAGGAACUGCGUCCGAUACUGGUUGGCUUGAAUCCGGGAGAGGGAUGCGGAAUUCCAGGUGUAGCGGUGAAAAUGCGUAGAUAUCUGGAGGAACACCGGUGGCGAAGGCGGCAUCCUG
rnacentral:rRNA from 1 species